UACGGAGGGUGCAAGCGUUAAUCGGAAUCACUGGGCGUAAAGCGCACGUAGGCGGCUUGGUAAGUCAGGGGUGAAAUCCCACAGCCCAACUGUGGAACUGCCUUUGAUACUGCCAGGCUUGAGUACCGGAGAGGGUGGCGGAAUUCCAGGUGUAGGAGUGAAAUCCGUAGAUAUCUGGAGGAACACCGGUGGCGAAGGCGGCCACCUGGACGGUAACUGACGCUGAGGUGCGAAAGCGUGGGUAGCAAACAGG
rnacentral:rRNA from 3 species